ACUGUGAAGUCACAAGAGGCCCUGAGCUCUGUGGGCCCCAGGUGCCCCGGGAAAACUUGGGGGAGAAUGGGCAUCCCACCCCAGCACUUUCUAGGAAGAAGGGCAGCAUUUUGAAGGGCUGGAAGUAGAGGAAGGAGGUUGCGGGUAGAAGACUCCAUACUUUCUGUGACGCCUAUUCCUUAGUCAGAGGCAUGGCUUGCCUGGGCCUCUGGGUGCAGCUGCACAGAUUCAAGCAGCCUGAAGGAAAGGUGACUGACAGCUAAUGAUCUGAAAAGAACUUGUCUCAACUCAACGUCAUUCCUGGCAUUAUCGAACAAAGCAAUAAACCUCACAGAAUGGAAGCUACAGUGUCCAGGGCCAGCUCUGCUAAGGUAACCAAAGACAGAGAAGGAGGCAAAAGUGACAGAAGAAACUCAUGGGAAACCAACAGAAAUAUAAUGGCUUUGGCAGAAAUGCAAUUAUCAAUUGGGAGGAGAGCCUUUAUAUAACCAAAGAUAUUUUUGGACCAUGAAUUCAGAAAUUCUCGGAGCCACCCAUCAGUGCCUGAGCUUCAGUGAGUCCAUAUCCCAUGUCACCCACGGCAAAGGAGACUCUAAGACUUCUGAAGAGUUUCUUGCUUCUUUCCUGUGGGGCAGUGACUCCACUUCCCAGCAGUAAUGGAAUAUCCUGAAUUAGCUACAUUAAUGUUAGAACCAUUUGGACCUCACCCAGGACUUCAACUACAUUAUGCUAAAGUUACAGAACCCAAAUUUGGCAACUGUCUGCAUCUGAACAACAGAAGUUUCAACAUUCUGCCAACAGAGUAACUCCUGGACGAUUGGCACAGAAGAAGGCACAAGGCAAAUACCCAUCUCUGUACACCCUGUGCUACUGUGUCAUGUGCUGCUCCAGGCAACUCCAAUGGAUUGGCCACCCUGGCCAAUGUGCCCUCCAAACACCAGCACUGAGUAGAAAGAGGCUCUGAUUCAUGAAAUGUGAAUUUAUGACAGUUGCCACUCUUAAAAAAAAAAACAAACAGACAGAACUUGAGCAAUACAUGACUGAUGCAUUCUCAGCCUGCUUCCUGUGUUCCAUCUGUCUUUCUGCCAGUGCAUUCACCCUCCAGUGAAACUUUCUACAUUCCACAUUUUCUAUCAAGAAAAGAAAGAGGUUGUAUUGUGAGGUUCUAGUAUGUUACGUUUAUGUUCCCCUGCUUUCUACAAUCCUGUUCAAAGAGUUGCUGACUUAACCACAGAGAGGAUUCCAGAACCUGAGACACAGAAUAAACUUGAGCAAUCAUAGUCCAUCCACUUCAUUGUCUCAUCAAAAACCAAAGGUCCAGUGAAGCUCUGGAACUCAACGCUGUAAAGGAGCGAAGGAGCUUCUAUACAGAGCCUGGAUGCCUGUCUCCUUAUCCUACUUCAGUGGACUUGACUGCAAUCCGGAUUAUGCUGUUUUCUAAGCAUUUAAAAUAAAAUAAAAAGUAUAAUAGUGUGAUAAGUUCUUUCACAAAGCAAGCAAUCACAUUUAUGUUUCUACUUACAUUUGGGUUUUCCAAAUAUGUGUGUGUGUGUGUGUGUGUGUGUGUGUGUGUGUAUGUAGACUUUAAACAUGGUGCAUCCAUCAUGUUGCACUAAAUCAAAACCACCAAAUAAUGAUGUAGAACUAAUAAAUCAAAACCAUCAAAUAAUGACAUAGAAAUCCAAUUCUCCCACCUUACACCCAUUAAGAUGGCUACU
rnacentral:lncRNA from 1 species